rnacentral:SRP_RNA from 1 species
GCCGGGCAUGGUGGUGCAUGCCUGUAAUCCCAGCUACUCGGGAGGCUGAGGCGUGAGAAUCGCUUGAGCCCGGGAGGCAGAGGUUGCAGUGAGCCAAGAUUGUGCCCCUGAACUGCAGCCUGGGCAAUAGAGGGAGACUGUGUCUCAA